rnacentral:rRNA from 1 species
UACGUAGGGCGCGAGCGUUGUCCGGAAUUAUUGGGCGUAAAGAGCUCGUAGGCGGCCGGUUGCGUCUGCUGUGAAAUCCCGGGGCUUAACCCCGGGCGUGCAGUGGAUACGGGCCGGCUGGAGGCAGGCAGGGGAGAAUGGAAUUCCCGGUGUAGCGGUGAAAUGCGCAGAUAUCGGGAGGAACACCGAUGGCGAAGGCAGGUCUCUGGGCCACUACUGACGCUGAGAAGCGAAAGCAUGGGGAGCGAACAGG